rnacentral:rRNA from 1 species
GUCCGGUGAAGUGUUCGGAUGGCGGCGACGCGAGCGGUUCGCCGCCCGCGACGUCGCGAGAAGUCCACUGAACCUUAUCAUUUAGAGGAAGGAGAAGUCGUAACAAGGUUUCCGUAGGUGAACCUGCGGAAGGAUCAUUGUCGAAACCUGCCCAGCAGAACGACCCGCGAACCGUGGUUAAACCGCGUCGAGGGGUGCGGGCGGCGCAGCCCCCGGGCCCCUUGGCGAUUCCCCGGAGGCGCCGGAGGCAUACGUGGCUCGGGCGACCGAGGGGGACUCACAACAAAACCCGGCGCAGAACGCGUCAAGGAAAACGAAAUAGGGCAGGAUCGUCCCGUCGACCCCGGAGACGGUGCGCGACGGGACGCUCCGCCAGGAAUUCACGAAUCGAAACGACUCUCGGCAACGGAUAUCUCGGCUCUCGCAUCGAUGAAGAACGUAGCAAAAUGCGAUACUUGGUGUGAAUUGCAGAAUCCCGUGAACCAUCGAGUCUUUGAACGCAAGUUGCGCCCGAAGCCUUUUGGCCGAGGGCACGUCUGCCUGGGUGUCACACGACGUUGUCCCACCACCGACCCAGUACGAGCUGCGGAAGGAAGGAGGGACGGAUGCUGGCCUCCCGUGAGUCACCUCUCGCGGCUGGCCCAAAUGCGUGUCCGGGCGAUUGGAGCCACGACGAACGGUGGUUGAACGACCCUCGGCGCAGGUCGUGGACUCCGGUCGCAGGAGCGGGCAACGGGACUCCGCGCGCUCUUCGGAGCGCCGCAACCGCGACCCCAGGUCAGGCGGGACCACCCGCUGAGUUUAAGCAUAUCAAUAAGCGGAGGAAAAGAAACUUACCAGGAUUCCCCUAGUAACGGCGAGCGAACCGGG